UCAGAAGGCUGAGGCAGGACAAUCACCGUGAGCUCCGGCCCAGCCUGGGCUAACAGUGAAGAAGAGGCCAGCCUGAAAUACAUAGUGAGACCCUGUCUCAAAAGAAAAGACAAAUAUAAAACGAAGGCAGAGAUGGCAGCAAGCUUUGACCUGUUUCUAGUUACCCAUUAGGCAUCUGUAGGGCCAAGGGAACAGUCACUGUGCUUUUUGAUGUUUUAUUUUGUUCUGAUUUUUUACCAAAAGCAGUUUUAAAUCCCUGGCUGCCUUUUGAGAAGAAAACAAAAGUCAUGUUUUUAAUAAGCAAUAGGCUAAGGGCUCAGGCAUUUGUUUAUCCCCUGUCCCUCUGUGGUGAUCCUAACAAUUUUAUUUUCUUGUCUAGUUUGUUCUUUUUUUUUUUUCCAUACCAGGGAUCAACCUCAGGACCUUGUGCUUUCCAGACAGGUGCGGCACCACUGAGCUACAUCCCCAGCCCCAUCUAGUUUAUUCUUGGAGAGGCCAUGGCCAAGGCAUCCUGGCUUUAAUGAUGACCUGGAGGUCCACAGGACUGCUUGGGAGAGGAGGUGGCUAGGACUAGAUGGAGUAGAUGCAGUUCUGAUUCCUCCUGCUAAAUACAGCAACAACCCUGGGUGUUACACUUGAAACAAACAUAAAAGACUGAAAGAUGGAGAAAAGAAGGCAGACUAAGAAUCUCAAGACGUGAAGAACAAUAUGGUGGCAAACACCACAAAAAAAAUCCCCUCACUUCCGGACAGGAGUGGGAGAUCUGCACGUGACAGCUCAAAUGAUCCCUCACAGCCGAGGUCCCCUCUGCACUGCUGCCAUGGCCUCAGGGAAGACCAAGCCGGAAGCCAGGACUUCAUCCCUGCCUGGUGGCACCAAGCCCCUCCAUCACAGGCUACUAGAGACUAAGAGAGGAGCAACAGCGCUUUAUGUCCUUAGAGGCAAUGCAAGUCAUCAGAGGCCCAGUGGGGAACCUGGACAUCCCUCAGUGGGCAGCAGCAUCCUCUUUUGUCCAGUGAAGCAAUGUCAGAGAAUGGUUACUAACAUGGAUACUACCAUAUCCAAAAUGUCCAGGAUACAAGUGAAAAUCGCUUGUCAUAACAAGAAUUACGGAAAUCUCAAACUGAAUAAGAUAAGACAAUUAAAAAACCAAUACCCUAGAUGACCUAGAUGAUGGAAUUAUCUGACACAUAUUUAAGGAGACAAGUAUUUUAAGGCAAGUAUUAAAAAUACUUCAACAAGCAAUGAAAAGCUCUCUUGAAACAAAAAAAUUAAAUUUUAGCAAAGAAAGAAGAUAUGAAGAAUAACUAAAUGGAAGCUGGGUGUGGUGGCACACAUCUGUAAUCCCAAUGCCCUGAAGGCUAAGGCAGGAGGACUGCAGGAAGUUUGAGGCCAGCCUUGACUACAUAGUGAGUUCAAGGACAGCCUGAACUACAUAGUGAGAAAACAAAAGAAACCAUUGUCUAACACAAGAUCGUGAUUAUUUACUCUUGGAUUUUCUUCUAAUAGUUUUAUAAUUUUAGCUGUUACAUUUAGGUCCAUGACAAAUUUUGAGUUGAUUUCUGUGUAUGGUGUGAGGUAAGGGUCCAAAUGUCUUCUUUAGCAGGUGGAGAGCCAAUUGGCCCAGUGCCACUUGUUAGAAAGACUCCUCUGCCUUGAGUUGCUUAGACACCUCUUUGAACAUUAAUUGACAAUAGCAGGCUAUGAGCAUGGCUAAGAGGUAGAGUGGUUACCUUGAAUACCAGCUCCAUGGAAUAGGAAAAAGAAAAGAGUACAUGAAAAUUAAUUCUUUGGUGUUGACCUUUGUGCCUAACUCAUAACUUAUGGUUAACUUAUGUCAGCUCUAUGCUGUCUGACUCCUGUAGCUUUGUAGCAACUUUGAAAUCUGGAAGUGUAAGUCCUUCAUUGUUCUUCAGGACUGUGCUGGGUAUUCUAGGUCCUUAGCAUUUACAGAUGAAUUUUAGGGUCACUUGACAAUUUCUGAAUAAAAAUAAAGGCAGCUGGGAUCUUGAUAAGAAAUUCACUGAAUCUCUACAUAAUUUGGCAAGCAUUGCCAUCUUGACAAAAUUUUUUUUUUGACAUUUCUGACUUAAGAAAAUAGUAUGCAAAAAAAAGAAAGAAAAUAGUAUGCCUAUUUGUUUAAAUAUUUUAAAUUUUCAGCAAUGAUUUAUAGUUAUGAGUAAAUAAAACUUGCCAUCUUUUAUUA